CCUACGGGAGGCAGCAGUGGGGAAUUUUGGACAAUGGGCGAAAGCCUGAUCCAGCAAUGCCGCGUGAGUGAAGAAGGCCUUCGGGUUGUAAAGCUCUUUUGUCAGGGAAGAAACGGUGAAAGCUAAUAUCUUUUGCUAAUGACGGUACCUGAAGAAUAAGCACCGGCUAACUACGUGCCAGCAGCCGCGGUAAUACGUAGGGUGCAAGCGUUAAUCGGAAUUACUGGGCGUAAAGCGUGCGCAGGCGGUUUUGUAAGUCUGAUGUGAAAUCCCCGGGCUCAACCUGGGAAUUGCAUUGGAGACUGCAAGGCUAGAAUCUGGCAGAGGGGGGUAGAAUUCCACGUGUAGCAGUGAAAUGCGUAGAUAUGUGGAGGAACACCGAUGGCGAAGGCAGCCCCCUGGGUCAAGAUUGACGCUCAUGCACGAAAGCGUGGGGAGCAAACAGGAUUAGAUACCCUGGUAGUCCACGCCCUAAACGAUGUCUACUAGUUGUCGGGUCUUAAUUGACUUGGUAACGCNGCGUACGCGUGAGUAGACCGCCGUGGGUAAGGUACGGUCGUUCGAGUAAGUUAAACGUUACGAAGAGUUAGUUGCGNGNGAGACGCGACGGACGACGACGACGGAGGAGGAGG
rnacentral:rRNA from 1 species